GGACAGGUGUCCGAGUGGCUGAAGGAGCGGCACUGGAAAUGCCGUGUGCGACAUGUUCGUACCGUGGGUUCGAAUCCCACCCUGUCCG
rnacentral:tRNA from 1 species